GAAUUCCAGCCAGAUACCUGGUCUAUAUUGAAUUAUAUACCUUAGAUUGGGAAUAAGGGUGAAACAUGGGAUUCUGCUUGUAUAACAACCACCUCAUUAAGUGAUUGACUGAUUUAUUUAUAUGCUGCCUCAAUCAUCCAAGUAAGUCUAGGUGGCUUGUAGAAUCCUAGGUGCUAGGAGACUUCCACAUCAACUUCAGACCUGCACUGUCUGGUAUGACUCAGGAGUUCACAGCAGCUGGGACAUUUAUGACAUUGGACCUUGGAGCCAGUGCAUAUUGCUGGUCACACUUGAUUUGGUGUUUUAUUCUGGCUGGAAUAGUGUUUCAUGGGUGAAUUCCCAUGUGAUGCCCCAUUGUCAUGGAUGGUCCACUACCUGGAUAAGGUUGGACUUACAGUCACUGUCCAUCUGUGUAGGGGUGGAGGACAGAUUCAGCUUGCUUUUCCAAAGAGGCUCUUGGAUCCAGUGGUUUUUCAAGGAUCCACACAGUGUUUAAGCAUAGAUUCUGCAGGCAAUUCUGACAUGCUCUGAUUGAGUCCUGGAACUGGGAAUUCACUGGAGUGGUAGACACAAUUGCACGAGUACAAUCUCCCCUUUUGAAGUCGUCCUCAUAGUAUGUCUGCCCAUGGAAGAGCUCUGUGGAAAGAGGAGGAAGGAAGAUGGCUAGAGCACUGAUGACAGACAACUCACGAUAACAUUGGUAAAGCACAGUACAGAACUCAUUUGAGAGUCUGUGCUGUGGCACUUUAUACAGAAGGAAGUGAUACUUCGCUGCGUGUGCCAUAUCUAAAGACUCUUGUCUAAUUUAGUUGUUUAAAGUUGUGGGACAAUUAGCACCUGUUCCUCAGUUUCUGAAUUUGGAAUUAGAACUUUCCAUAGCUUUCUGUGAUACAUUGGGUGUCGGUUAUUUUCCAGGUGCACUACAAAGUGUUACAUGUUAUUUUGAAAGCCUUACAUCGAGUGGUCCUAGGUCACUUGAGAGAAUGCUCCCUCCUAUAUGAUUCCCAGUGUCCAUUAAGAUCAUCUGUACCUCCCACUACCCACUAAGGUCAUACAUAGAAUUUUAUAAUUCUUAAAUGUCUUAAAUGUUCUGAAUAUUUUAAAUUGUUACUGGAUUUUUGUAUACCCAGGAACUUUGGUGAUAGGUGGUUUAAAAAACAAAGACAUAUAGAUAGUAUAUUUGAAAAUUUCCUUACUGACAUGGGCAGUGAUGCUCUUGGUUUAAGAUUAGGCCAGGGUCACAGUUUGGUUUCUGCUCCACCUAGUCAGUCAGGGAAAGUGUGUGGCAAAUGAUGUCACGUUAUCAGAUUUGUCAGGGUCAGACUUUAGGCUGUUCUGCAUGUUGAGGUUGUUGAAGGUACGGAGCAAAACAAGUACCUUAAGAGUGGGAAACCCCCAAUCCUCUGGAAAUAAAAAAUAUUUCAGCCUUGUCAGAGCACAAAGAUUGCCUAUCAUUGAAUUAUGUCAUUGUUCCAUAUCCAUAGGGUAAUAAACAUCAACCCCAUUUAACUUUUCAGUCAGUGCUUCUCUACCCUCA